rnacentral:rRNA from 1 species
GACGAACGCUGGCGGCGUGCUUAACACAUGCAAGUCGAACGGAAAGGCCUCUUUCGGGGGGUACUCGAGUGGCGAACGGGUGAGUAACACGUGAGUAACCUGCCCUUGACUUUGGGAUAACUUCAGGAAACUGGGGCUAAUACCGGAUAGGAGCUCCUGCUGCAUGGUGGGGGUUGGAAAGUUUCGGCGGUUGGGGAUGGCCUCGCGGCUUAUCCGCUUGUUGGUGGGGUAGUGGCUUACCAAGGCGUUGACGGGUAGCCGGCCUGUGAGGGUGACCGGCCACAUUGGGACUGAGAUACGGCCCAGACUCCUACGGGAGGCAGCAGUGGGGAAUAUUGCACAAUGGGUGGAAGCCUGAUGCAGCAACGCCGUGUGCGGGAUGACGGCCUUCGGGUUGUAAACCGCUUUCGCUCAUGACGAAGCUUUGUGUGACGGUAGUGGGUAAAGAAGCACCGGCUAACUACGUG